UACGGGGGGGGCAAGCGUUGUUCGGAAUUACUGGGCGUAAAGGGCUCGUAGGUGGCCAACUAAGUCAUACGUGAAAUCCCUCGGCUUAACCGGGGAACUGCGUCUGAUACUGGAUGGCUUGAGGUUGGGAGAGGGAUGCGGAAUUCCAGGUGUAGCGGUGAAAUGCGUAGAUAUCUGGAGGAAUACCGGUGGCGAAGGCGGCAUCCUGGACCGACAUUGACGCUGAAAACCGAAAGCUAGGGGAGCAAACGGG
rnacentral:rRNA from 1 species